UCAGCAUCUUGGCUUUCUGGCUAAGAUCAAGCAUUUUUGGCACUAAGGGGAGGGUAUCAGAGCUAGGUCUGGCCAGUUCCCUGUGGAGGGAACACUCACCCGCAUUUUUUAAGGGCCAAAAAAAAAAAGGUUCCCAUCAACAUUUUUGGUAUCAGGGGAAGAUGUCACAGCUUGCUCCAACCUCUUUGAAUGCUGACCUGACAUUGCAGUACCUUCAGGCCCAGUGCUUGUUUU
rnacentral:snRNA from 1 species